GUGACAUCAAAGAUGAUUCGGAAGCUGAAAACAGCAAAAAAGGUGGCAGCAAUCCUGUAUUAAUGAAAUUUAUUCUAUUUGGGUCGAUUGUGGCAGUCCUAAGAGCAAUGCCACUUGUAAUCCAACUUUGCAAGGAUGUGAAUCUGUAGUGUUACUUAUGACAUUGUUCUUUUUAUUUUAUGAAAAUUCUUAUAAACUACACCCCUUGAUCAUGGAUUAAAUCAAUAAAAACAUUCUAACUACA